CUUAUGCUCAGAUUUGUGGUUCAGAGUAUAUUGUAUUGUUUCAUGGUCUUUAUUUCUUAUAUGUUAAAACCUAUAUAGAAAGAAUAUCUCCACUUUCAUCUACCAUUUGCUUCUUUAUGAUGCAUAGAGUCUGAUGAGAUUAUAGCUGUUUAUAGUCGUUGUAAGCAUAUCUCCAGGAUAUUCUACAACUUGCUUUUCUACAUUCUUACUAACUAUGAAGUUAGUUUAUAAGAAAAUAUAGCUAGAAAAAAUAUCAUUAAUUCAUUCGAAAACAUAAAAACUGCUGUAAGAUGUUUGAGAUUCACCUUGACCAUGGACCACACAUUCAUCUUUACCAGAGAUGAGAAGACACCUGCCUUUGUCCUGAAAAACACAGCCAGUGGCGUUUAUUGCUCUGGGUUGAUAUAUAGCACCUGAAGGAGGCCCAGGGCCCCGAAGCAGCAACCGCUGACCUUCCUAUAUAAACUUCAAUCAAGAAGACACGGCUUCAUUGAGGGAAAAAAAGAAAGAUGCUCGAUGUUUUCUACUACAAAACCUGGACAAAGUGGAAAAAAAAGGGGAACCCUGCAUGAGCACAAAGGCCCCCUUGUCUUAAGGUGUCAUGGAGCAGCACAUAUCAGACACAAGAUUGAAUGUCCCUUAAGCAUGGAGGAAGCGGAGAGAAGGGGCGAGACCGUGCCAGCCUGCCACCAAAGAAGCUUUUGACGAUGGGCCAAAACAGAUGGCUGGGAAUGGAGAAACAAGGUCAGAGGACAGCGAACACAGCUCUCGCCCCUCCUUUGGCCUCACCACAUUUGAUACGUCGGAGCAUCAUCUGAUGUCCGCCUUUCUUUUUAAUUAAAAUGGAUGGUAUGGAAUAAGAGCUCGCUUGUUUUCCCUGGAAGGUGCUUAGGGGAGAAGUAAAGCUACACAGUGGCUUUGUCGCGAUGAAAAGAGCUACUGUGUCAGUCGCUCGGAGUGCGAGCAGUCAAAGAUAACCCAGGCCCGAUUGAUAACAGUCACGACAAUGUUUAGAAGACAUGUAUCUACAUGGGAGUUGAUAACUUAUGGUAACACGACCUCGGGGUGGUCCCUGCCACAUUCACACUGCCACAAUGCAGCCCAAGGCUCUUUCCAUGUUUUUGUGGGCUAAUCUGCCGUUAUCCGAUGCCUUCUUGGCCUGUGUCAGAUGUUGCGUGAUGCUCACACAGUACUGGUCAGUCACACUAGGAAACAGGUCGACUAGAUCACGAAUACAUUCACUCUCUUAAAAACACUCAUUCAGCACUAGACUAUUAUAUGCAGUUCUAAAACACAAUGACUUGUUG